UACAGAGGUCCCAAGCGUUGUUCGGAUUCACUGGGCGUAAAGGGCGCGUAGGCGGCCACUGCAAGUCGGUUGUGAAAUCUCCGGGCUUAACCCGGAAAGGUCAAUCGAUACUGCAGGGCUAGAGUGCGGAAGGGGCAACUGGAAUUCUCGGUGUAGCGGUGAAAUGCGUAGAUAUCGAGAGGAACACCUGCGGCGAAGGCGGGUUGCUGGGCCGACACUGACGCUGACAGCGCGAAAGCUAGGGGAGCGAACGGG
rnacentral:rRNA from 1 species